AUUGAACGCUGGCGGCAUGCCUUACACAUGCGAGUCGAACGGCAGCACGGGUGCUUGCACCUGGUGGCGAGUGGCGAACGGGUGAGUAAUACAUCGGAACAUGUCCUGUAGUGGGGGAUAGCCCGGCGAAAGCCGGAUUAAUACCGCAUACGAUCUACGGAUGAAAGCGGGGGACCUUCGGGCCUCGCGCUAUAGGGUUGGCCGAUGGCUGAUUAGCUAGUUGGUGGGGUAAAGGCCUACCAAGGCGACGAUCAGUAGCUGGUCUGAGAGGACGACCAGCCACACUGGGACUGAGACACGGCCCAGACUCCUACGGGAGGCAGCAGUGGGGAAUUUUGGACAAAGGGCGAAAGCCUGAUCCAGCAAUGCCGCGUGUGUGAAGAAGGCCUUCGGGUUGUAAAGCACUUUUGUCCGGAAAGAAAUCCUUGGCUCUAAUACAGUCGGGGGAUGACGGUACCGGAAGAAUAAGCACCGGCUAACUACGUG
rnacentral:rRNA from 1 species